rnacentral:rRNA from 1 species
CUACGGGGCGCACCAGUGGGGAAUAUUGCACAAUGGGCGCAAGCCUGAUGCAGCCAUGCCGCGUGUAUGAAGAAGGCCUUCGGGUUGUAAAGUACUUUCAGCGGGGAGGAAGGGAGUAAAAUUAAUACCUUUGCUCAUUGACGUUACCCGCAGAAGAAGCACCGGCUAACUCCGUGCCAGCAGCCGCGGUAAUACGGAGGGUGCAAGCGUUAAUCGGAAUUACUGGGCGUAAAGCGCACGCAGGCGGUUUGUUAAGUCAGAUGUGAAAUCCCCGGGCUCAACCUGGGAACUGCAUCUGAUACUGGCCAGCUUGAGUCUCGUAGAGGGGGGUAGAAUUCCAGGUGUAGCGGUGAAAUGCGUAGAGAUCUGGAGGAAUACCGGUGGCGAAGGCGGCCCCCUGGACGAAGACUGACGCUCAGGUGCGAAAGCGUGGGGAGCAAACAGGAUUAGAUACCCCCGUAGUC